rnacentral:rRNA from 1 species
CCUACGGGAUGCAGCAGUGAGGAAUAUUGGUCAAUGGGCGCGAGCCUGAACCAGCCAAGUAGCGUGAAGGAUGACUGCCCUACGGGUUGUAAACUUCUUUUAUAAGGGAAUAAAGUGAGGCACGUGUGCCUUUUUGUAUGUACUUUAUGAAUAAGGAUCGGCUAACUCCGUGCCAGCAGCCGCGGUAAUACGGAGGAUCCGAGCGUUAUCCGGAUUUAUUGGGUUUAAAGGGAGCGUAGAUGGGUUGUUAAGUCAGUUGUGAAAGUAUGCGGCUCAACCGUAAAAUUGCAGUUGAUACUGGCAGCCUUGAGUACAGUUGAGGUAGGCGGAAUUCGUGGUGUAGCGGUGAAAUGCUUAGAUAUCACGAAGAACUCCGAUUGCGAAGGCAGCUUACUAAACUGCAACUGACAGUGAUGCUCGAAAGUGUGGGUAUCAAACAGGAUUAGAUACCCUAGUAGUC